rnacentral:rRNA from 1 species
AGCAGCCGCGGUAAUUCCAGCUCCAAUAGCGUUAUAUUAAAGUUGUUGCAGUUAAAAAGCUCGUAGUUGAAUUUCAGGCCUGGCUGGACGGUCCGCCCUUCGGGUGAGUACUGUCUGUGGUCGGGUCCUACCUUCUGGCGAAGCGUCAUGGCCUUAACCGGCCGUGGCGGGGAACCAGGACUUUUACUGUGAAAAAAUUAGAGUGUUCAAAGCAGGCAAUCGCUUGGAUACAUUAGCAUGGAAUAAUGGAAUAGGACAAUGGUUCUAUUUGUUGGUUUCUAGGACCGUUGUAAUGAUUAAUAGGGAUAGUUGGGGGCAUUAGUAUUCAAUUGUCAGAGGUGAAAUUCUUGGAUUUAUUGAAGACUAACUACUGCGAAAGCAUUUGCCAAGGAUGUUUUCAUUAAUCAAGAACGAAAGUUAGGGGAUCGAAGACGAUCAGAUACCGUCGUAGUCUUAACCAUAAACUAUGCCGACUAGGAAUCGGGCGAUGUUGAAAAAAUGACGCGCUCGGCACCUCAUA